ACGGCCGUACCAUGUUGAAUAUACCGGUUCUCGUUAGAUCACCGAAAUUAAGCAUCAUCAGUACUUGGGUGGGUGACCACCUGGGAACACCGCGCCGUUG